rnacentral:rRNA from 1 species
AACGAACGCUGGCGGCAUGCCUAACACAUGCAAGUCGAACGAGACCUUCGGGUCUAGUGGCGCACGGGUGCGUAACGCGUGGGAACCUGCCCUUAGGUUCGGAAUAACUCCCCGAAAGGGGUGCUAAUACCGGAUAAUGUCUUCGGACCAAAGAUUUAUCGCCUUUGGAUGGGCCCGCGUUGGAUUAGCUAGUUGGUAGGGUAAAAGCCUACCAAGGCGACGAUCCAUAGCUGGUCUGAGAGGAUGAUCAGCCACACUGGGACUGAGACACGGCCCAGACUCCUACGGGAGGCAGCAGAGGGGAAUAUUGGACAAUGGGCGAAAGCCUGAUCCAGCAAGGCCGCGUGAGUGAUGAAGGCCUUAGGGUUGUAAAGCUCUUUUACCCGGGAUGAUAAUGACAGUACCGGGAGAAUAAGCACCGGCUAACUCCGUG